rnacentral:rRNA from 1 species
UACAGAGGUCUCGAGCGUUGUUCGGAUUCAUUGGGCGUAAAGGGUGCGUAGGCGGCGAGCUAAGUUUGGUGUGAAAUCCUAGGGCUUAACCCUAGAAAUGCACUGAAUACUGGUUUGCUAGAGGACUGGAGAGGAGAUUGGAAUUCACGGUGUAGCAGUGAAAUGCGUAGAUAUCGUGAGGAAGACCAGUGGCGAAGGCGAAUCUCUGGACAGAUCCUGACGCUGAGGCACGAAGGCCAGGGGAGCAAACGGG